UACAGAGGUCUCAAGCGUUGUUCGGAUUCAUUGGGCGUAAAGGGUGUGUAGGUGGCGCCGUAAGUCGGGUGUGAAAUUUCGGAGCUUAACUCCGAAACUGCAUUCGAUACUGCCGUGCUUGAGGACUGGAGAGGAGACUGGAAUUUACGGUGUAGCGGUGAAAUGCGUAGAUAUCGUAAGGAAGACCAGUGGCGAAGGCGGGUCUCUGGACAGUUCCUGACGCUGAGGCACGA
rnacentral:rRNA from 1 species